UCCCUGCCUAAGAGGAGGACUAGUGACAAG
rnacentral:piRNA from 1 species